CCUACGGGUGGCAGCAGGGAGGAAUAUUGGUCAAUGGGCGCGAGCCUGAACCAGCCAAGUAGCGUGAAGGAUGACUGCCCUACGGGUUGUAAACUUCGUGUAUAAAGGAAUAAAGUGAGGCACGUGUGCCGUUUUGUAUGUACUUUAGGAAUAAGGAUCGGCUAACUCCGUGCCAGCAGCCGCGGUAAUACGGAGGAUCCGAGCGUUCUCCGGAUUUAUUGGGUUUAAAGGGAGCGUAGCUGGGUUGUUAAGUCAGUUGUGAAAGUUUGCGGCUCAACCGUAAAAUUGCAAUUGAUACGGGCAGUCUUGAGUACAGUUGCGGUAGGCGGAAUUCGUGGUGUAGCGG
rnacentral:rRNA from 1 species